CUGAGUGUUAUGGGAUGGGUCAUAAGCUAUAUGAGUCAUUGUAGCAAUACAAGGCAUAGGGAUCAGUAACAAGUAGUCAAUAUACCCCAUGGACGUGGAUAACAUCGGGAAAAUAAGAAUAAUCGGGGAUAGAUCAUGAUGCCCGGAACGGUUUAUGGUCCAAAUGAUUCGUCGCCAUAGGAUGGGAAUGCGGCCUAUCAGCUUGUUGGUGAGGGAAUGUCCCCACCAAGGCUAUUACAGGUACGGGCUCUGACAAGAGAAGCCCGGAGAUGGGUAGCGAGACACGGACCCAGGCCCUAUGGGGCGCAGCAGGCGAGAAACCUUUGCAAUGUGCGCAAGCACGACAAGGUUAAUCCGAGUGUUUCUUGCUAAAGGAAUAUUUUGUUAGUUCUAAAACCAUUGAUGAAUAAGGGGUGGGCAAGUUCUGGUGUCAGCCGCCGCGGUAAAACCAGCACCUCAAGUGGUCAGGAGGAUUAUUGGGCCUAAAGCAUCCGUAGCCGUUUCUGUAAGUUUCCGGUUAAAUCCACUAGGUCAAGUAAUGGGCUGCGGGAAAUGGUGCUGAACUAGGAAGUGUAAAAUGUAGACGUUACUGGAAAGGCAGGAGUACAAUCCUUUGAUCUCUUGAUGACCACCUGUGGCGAAGGCGGUCUACCAGAACACGUUCGACGGUGAGGGAUGAAGGGUGGGGGCACCGACCGGAUUAGAUACCCGGGUAAUCCCAGCGCUAUACGAUACAGAAGCGGUGAUGCGCUGGCGUUUAGCCAGUGCCGUGCCGCGGGCGAGCCCUUAAGUUUGCCGCCUGGGAAGUUCGUACGCAAGUAGAAACUUAAAGGAAU
rnacentral:rRNA from 1 species